rnacentral:rRNA from 1 species
UACGUAGGUGGCGAGCGUUGUCCGGAUUUACUGGGCGUAAAGAGCGCGCAGGCGGUCGUACAAGUCGCGUGUGAAAGCCCCUGGCUCAACUGGGGAGGGUCACGCGAUACUGUUCGACUUGAAGGCAGGAGAGGGAAGUGGAAUUCCCGGUGUAGUGGUGAAAUGCGUAGAUAUCGGGAGGAACACCAGUGGCGAAGGCGGCUCACUGGCCCGAUACUGACGCUGAAGCACGAAAGCGUGGGGAGCAAACAGG